rnacentral:rRNA from 1 species
UACAUGUGGGGCAAGCGUUGUUCGGAAUCACUGGGCAUAAAGGGUGCGUAGGCGGCAUGAUACGUCUUGGGUGAAAUCCUGCGGCCCAACCGCGGGUCUGCCUGAGAUACGGUCAAGCUGGAGUGCGUGAGGGGUGACUGGAACGCGUGGUGUAGCGGUGAAAUGCGUAGAUAUCACGCGGAAGGCCAACGGCGAAGGCAGGUCACUGGCACGCAACUGACGCUGAGUGCACGAAAGCGUGGGGAGCAAACAGGAUUAGAAACCCUUGUAGU